rnacentral:rRNA from 1 species
CGGGGUAACGGCCCACCAAGCCUUCGAUGGAUAGGGGUCCUGAGAGGAAGGUCCCCCACAUUGGAACUGAGACACGGUCCAAACUCCUACGGGAGGCAGCAUG